rnacentral:misc_RNA from 1 species
AACGCACGAGACCUGCGGACCUGCGGAAGGAUCAUUACAGAGUUGCAAAACUCCCAAACCAUUGUGAACGUUACCUUCUCGUUGCUUCGGCGGGCGGCCCGGGUCCUUCCCGGCGCCCCCCGGCCCCUCGCGGGCGCCCGCCGGAGGUAAACCAAACUCUUGAAUUGUAUGGCCUCUCUGAGUCUUCUGUACUGAAUAAGUCAAAACUUUUAACAAUGGAUCUCUAGAUCGGAAGAGCAC